AGAUACGCGCAACAAUUCAUAAUGAAAAGUUGCAUAACAAUUCAUAAUGAAAAGUUGCAUAACAAUUCAUAAUGAAAAGUUGCAUAACAAUUCUCAAGUUUCAUAUUCUGAACUACAUCAUGAUUUCCACUUCUCUUCACACUCUCAUUUUCUUCUUUAUCGCGACUACUCCUUCUCAAGUGCUGAUGAACGAUGGUGUUUCUUUGGCUGAAUCCUCUAGCAAAUUUAAUUUUAUGCCAAAAGUAUCCAUCAAACUUGGUGAGAAGAACUUUCCUGUCAAGCCUUUCAUUACUUUCAAUUGUGUUGAUCUAGUGAUCCUAAUAAUGUUGUCAAUUCUCCUUCUAACUCAAUUUUCCAUUCUGGUGUCUU
rnacentral:lncRNA from 1 species